GUGGAAGACCAGCAUCUUGUUGGUGCUCUCCUUUCCAGUUUUCAAACAGGCUAUAUUGGAGACUCCCCAUUUUGCAGGAAACAGGAAUUCUUCAUCAAGAUGUGAUGCCUCCAUCCCCUGCCAGGGCUCUGGACUCCCCAGGCGGCCACCCUCUCACUGACAGUCCAGGCCUUCCCCUGGCUCUUGAGCUCCUGAGCUUCCAAUACCUGGGGCCCACUCAGGACAAGAUGUGCUCCAAGGCAUUAGGGCCCAGGGCCCAGGGUCCUGGGUUCCCCUCUGGCCCUCUGCCUUGCAGUGGAAAAAUUGUUUUGGAUCCCUCACUGCCCCUCCUGCAAGGCCCCCUCUUGUCUCACACACCCAGAACCACCAGGGCUGCCCGAGUCGAACAGCUGGCCCAGCCCUGCGGGCCCUUUUUCUCACAAUGCCCACUCCAUCGUCGCUUGUCCCAAGGAAGACCUGGCCCAUGGCCAACAGAGCAGGAAGGCCCUACUUUGCCCCGCACUGGCAUUAGAGCCCCGGCAGCUUGA
rnacentral:lncRNA from 1 species